AAAAGCUGUAUCGAUUGUUGAGAUCUGGCGACUUGCUUAAAUUUCAUCAGCCUCACUUCUAUGGACUCUCAGAGCUGAUUACCAACUCCUACCACUGUUAACCCUCAUCCAGGAACAAGCUUAUGUCUUUAACAUUCUGAGUGGGCUUCAGCAUCCUUGCAUAUGUUCAAUUCUUAAAAACCUGUUGAAAUAAAAGAUCAGGAGACAUAGGAGGGAUGCCAGAAGACAGCGUGGCCUCACGUGUACCAGCUCUCUGCUCUCCUUUGCCUUGGGACGUUCCAUCCCUGGAAGUUUCCCUGCCCACAUCUUUGUAGAGAGUCCAUUCUCCAAGCUUCAGUGUGUCAUCUGUUAGGACUAUGACCCACCUGGUACAUUACCUCAGGGCAUUCAUUUCAGGCUCCUUCUAAGUGGUCAAGUUUUCAAGAUUGUUUUGGCUCUAGCAAAACAAGUUGGAACAUUCACAUCAUCCAAGAAAACACCAACAUUUUUGUAAUGGCCUGCAAGGCCUUCCAAGAUCUGCCUCCUGCAACUCAGCUUCUCCUGUGCUCUUCUUCUGGACUCACUCUGCCUCAGCAACGCUGGUCCCUGUUGCCCCACCAAUAUGCCAGUCAUCUAUGAACUGACUCUGUCUCAAAAAAAAGGAAGAAUGAAAAAAAAAAAAAACUAGGACACCGCUAACAGGAAUGGGGACAAAGAAUCUGCACUGAUGAGGAAACUGAAACAGAAAAUCCAGAGUAAAUUCCACCAGGCCACACAGCAAGGUCUGAUAGAGCCAGGAGAGACUUUAUGAAAUCCAGACUCUCACACUAAUGCUCUAUCAGCUAGACCUCCAUGUGAGUCUCCCCAAUGUAGGUAGGAAGCACUUUCCC
rnacentral:lncRNA from 1 species